AGCUUUGCGCAGUGGCAGUAUCGUAGCCAAUGAGGUUUAUCCGAGGCGCAAUUAUUGCUAAUUGAAAAAUCUAUGCACA
rnacentral:snRNA from 1 species